GGUUAACGGGGAAUUAGGGUUCAAUUCCGGAGAGGGAGCCUGAGAAACGGCUACCACAUCUAAGGAAGGCAGCAGGCGCGCAAAUUACCCAAUUCUAACAGCAUAAGAGAGGUAGUGACAAGAAAUAACAGUACAAGGCAGUUAAAAUGCUUUGUAAUUGGAAUGAUAGAAAUUUAAAUACUUUUUAAAGUAUCAAUUGGAGGGCAAGUCUGGUGCCAGCAGCCGCGGUAAUUCCAGCUCCAAUAGCGUAUAUUAAAAUUGUUGCAGUUAAAAAGCUCGUAGUUGAAUUUUUGCUAAAAAUAACCGGUCUGCUUUUAUUAAUAAAAGUGGUAUCUUGGUGUGUUUUUAGCAAUAAUGUCCUUUGAAAUGUUUUUUACUUUAUUGUAAGAGGCAAUUUUCAGGAUUUUUACUUUGAGAAAAUUAGAGUGUUUCAAGCAGGCUAACGUUUUGAAUACUGCAGCAUGGAAUAAUAAAAUAGGAUUUUAGUUCUACGUUAUUGGUUUUAAGAACUAAAUUAAUGAUUGAUAGGAGCAGUUGGGGGCAUUUGUAUUUAACUGUCAGAG
rnacentral:rRNA from 1 species